rnacentral:lncRNA from 1 species
UAUAAAUAUGAUGUGAUUAUGGCUAGUAAUUAUUAAUGUUUAAAAAUCACCUUUUUAAAUUCUAGCUAUUUGGGGUCAUAAAGUGCUAAUGGAUAUUCCACUUACACAUAUUUUAGAAGUGCUUAAUUCUAUAAUCAUUUAUGUAGGCACAUAGUAGUCAGUGCCUAAAAGUAAGAGCAACUGGGGACACUAGUCCUUAGAGUCCCUACAAGCCAGCUGUGCCCAGCUUCAAAUUAGCAGUUCUGUCUUGCUAUCUCUCCAGCACGGACUGUUCGCCUCUCAGCCUCCAGCCUAUCUUUAAUCUCAUUUAGCUCUGCUAGAAAGAAAUUCUCACAGUUAGACACAAUCUGCUUUAAUUUAAAUCUUGGGAGGUUUAAUAUCAGAAGACCAGUUGGCUCAUACAUAUACUCAAAGAUCUUAUAUAUAAGAUUCGCAUAGGAUCUCUUGA